UUACUGAAUCGGGUGCGAGCAUAAAAUCCCCAAGCGACCAACUCCUCCAGACCUCAAAAUUGUCGUCUCUAAUUCUCUCGACUCCAGUACUCACAAUGACUGAGCCGCGCAAAAGCAAGAGAAAAUGGGAUCAGUUUGUUCAUGUUUCACACAAGGCUGUCCAGACCCAGAUGGAAAUCGACAAUUUGGGUAUUGUACUGUUUUAUGUUCUGCUUCCCAAACACAUUUCUUAGUUAACUUUUGUUUGUUUUUAUUUCCUCUAUCUCUACAAGGUUUGAACAUGACGGAUACUACUGCGGAAAAGGUGAGUAAGUUUCAAUUUUUCAGUGAAAAUAGGAAAUUUUUUUUUUUUUUGGUAAGCAAAUUUUUUUUUUUUUUUUUGAAGUACAGUAAAUUAGUAUUUUGUAUAAACGUUAUAAAAGAAGUGGAUUAUGAAAAUCAUGAUAUAUAAGUAUAUAAUACUGGUCUUCUAUUCUCGUUGGGUAAAUUUUCCAGUUUACUAAUUUUGGGAUUUCCUUUUGUCUUUGCAGGAAGAUUUGAGAAAGAUUCAUGUGGGUUUGAUUUUUGUCGUAAGUUUUUCAUGCAUCUCCUUUUGGGUAUAAAGUAGAUGAUCAAAUUCAUACUGCAGGCCAAGAUUGUGGAGCAGGAAGAGAUCUUUUGUGAAGGAGAGAGCUAAAUGGGAAGCUGAAAACAGGUGUCGCUACAACAAGUGUCAUACUUAGAGACGAUAUCAUUCCACACGCAAUAUCGUGGUUUAAUUAUGAUGAAGAAGCUGCUAUGGAUGAAGAAGAUUAGACAAGAAAAAGUUUUGCAGUUGUAGAGGGUUCUAGAGGAGAGAUAGAGAUAGAGUCAAGCGCUUCAUUAUUGUGAAACCUAUUACCUAUGUCUAUUAGUACAUUUUAGUUUAUCUCACUUAAAUUCCUAUUAAUCAAUAUCAUAUUUAGUUGUCUUCUGAAACGUAUUCAUGUUAACGUGCGACUCAUUGAGCUGAUGCUAGAUUAACACCAGAUAUUUAUGACUUGAUCAAAGGGUUUUGGCUUAAAAAGCAUUUUAUGUAACAUAACCAGAACAGCAACAUGUGCUGCUAUUAUUAGACUACUCAGCUUUGUUUAUGAUCA